rnacentral:misc_RNA from 1 species
UCCCGGUUGGCCCGGGCAGUCUCAUUUGAAAAAUACAACAAAUGAUAAGGGUUGCGCUCGUUGCGGGACUUAACCCAACAUCUCACGACACGAGCUGACGACGGCCAUGCAGCACCUGUCACCAGGUUCCCGAAGGCACUCCACUGUUUCCAGCGGAUUCCUGGGAUGUCAAACCUUGGUAAGGUUCUUCGCGUAUCUUCGAAUUAAACCACAUGCUCCACCGCUUGUGCGGGUCCCCGUCAAUUCCUUUGAGUUUUAAUCUUGCGAUCGUACUCCCCAGGCGGCAUACUUAACGCGUUAGCUACUUAGCACAGGGGGUCGAUACCCCAUACUAAUAGUAUGCAUCGUUUACGGCGUGGACUAC